rnacentral:rRNA from 1 species
GACGAACGCUGGCGGCGUGCCUAACACAUGCAAGUCGAACGGAAAGACCCUGCUUUUGUGGGGUUCUCGAGUGGCGAACGGGUGAGUAACACGUGUGUAACCUGCUCUUGUCUUUCGGGUAACUUCACGAAACUGGGGCUAAUAUCGGAUAGGAUAUCCUGCUCCAUGGUGGGGGUUGGAAAGUUUCGGCGGUAGGGGAUGGACUAGCGGCUUAUCAGCUUGUUGGUGGGGUAGUUGCUGUCCCAGCGUUUGACGGGUAGGCGGCAUGGGAGGGUGACCGGGCACAUGGGUACUACGAGAGGCAGCAGUCGCCAACGGGAGGCAACAGGGGGAAGUAUUGCACAGUGGGCCGAAGUCUGAUACGGAGGCGCUCGGGUCGGAAUGACGUCUUGUGGGGUGAGAACCGCUGUCGCCUGUGACGAAGCGGUAGUGACGGUACCGGAUAAAGAAGCACCGGCUAACUACGUG